GAUUUUGAUCCUGGGUUCAGGACGAACGCCGAGCAGACUUGCCUAGCACCAUGCUACUCGAAAGAAUGAAGUUCACUCGGGGAACGGAUUUAGCGGCGGACGGGUGACUAACACGUGGGCAGCGUGCCUCAUAGAGGAGAAUAGCUUUCUGAACGUGAGAUUAAUACAACAUAAGAUUGUAGUACUGCAUGGUACAGCAAUUAAAGGAGCAAUCCGCUAUGAGAUGCGCGCGCGGCGCAUUAGCUAGUUCGUGAGGUAACGGUUCACCAAGUUGACGAUGAAUAGCCGACCUGAGAGGGUGAUCGCCCACAUCGGGAUUGAGACACGGGCCAGAAUCAUGCAUGAGGCAGCAGUGGGGAAUAUUGCACACUGGCGGAAACCCUGAUGCAACAACGCCGUGUGAGUGAUGAAGGCCUUUGGGUUGUAAAGCUCUAUGUUCAGGGAUGAUAAUGACGGUACCUGAGGAGGAAGACACUUCUAAUUAUGUGCCAGCAGCCGCGGUAAUAUGUAGGUGGUGAGCGUUGUCUUGAUUUAUUGGGGGUAAAGAGAGUGUAGGCGGAUUCUUAAGUGUGAUGUGAAAUACUUGGGCUUAACAUGAGUACUGCAUUUCAAAUUGGAAUUGUAGAGUGCAGGAGAGGAGAAGGGAAUUCUUAGUGUAGCGGUGAAAUGCGUAGAUAUUAGGAGGAACACCAGUGGUGAAGGCGGCUCUCUGGAAUGUAAUUGACACUGAGGCGCGAAAGAGUGGGGAGCAAACACGAUUAGAUACCCUGGUAGUCCUCCCCGUAAACGAUGAGCAAUAGGUGUUGGGGUGUAAAGCUUUCGGUGCCGCAGUUAACGC
rnacentral:rRNA from 1 species